rnacentral:rRNA from 1 species
CAAUAGCGUAUAUUAAAGUUGUUGCAGUUAAAAAGCUCGUAGUUGGAUUUCUGGUGGGAGCGAUCGGUCUGGCGCUUAGCGCGAGUACUUGCAUCGUCUCCGGCCAUCCUUGGGGAGAGUCUGUCUGGCAUUAAGUUGUCGGGCAGAGGAUCCUCAUCGUUUACUGUGAAAAAAUUAGAGUGUUCAAAGCAGGCUUAUGCCGUUGAAUAUAUUAGCAUGGAAUAAUAAGAUAGGACUUUGGUACUAUUUUGUUGGUUUGCGCACUAAAGUAAUGAUUAAUAGGGACAGUUGGGGGUAUUCGUAUUCCGUUGUCAGAGGUGAAAUUCUUGGAUUUACGGAAGACGAACUACUGCGAAAGCAUUUACCAAGGAUGUUUUCAUUAA